rnacentral:rRNA from 1 species
UACGUAGGGACCGAGCGUUGUCCGGAAUCAUUGGGCGUAAAGAGCGUGUAGGCGGCCACUUAAGUCCUGCGUGAAAUCUUGCGGCUCAACCGCAAGCGGUCGUGGGAAACUGGGUGGCUAGAGCACGGUAGAGGCAGAUGGAAUUCCCGGUGUAGCGGUGGAAUGCGUAGAGAUCGGGAAGAACAUCAGUGGCGAAGGCGGUCUGCUGGGCCGUUGCUGACGCUGAGGCGCGACAGCGUGGGGAGCAAACAGG